rnacentral:rRNA from 1 species
GACGAACGCUGGCGGCGUGCUUAACACAUGCAAGUCGAACGGAAAGGCCCUGCUUUUGUGGGGUGCUCGAGUGGCGAACGGGUGAGUAACACGUGAGUAACCUGCCCUUGACUUUGGGAUAACUUCAGGAAACUGGGGCUAAUACCGGAUAGGAGCUCCUGCUGCAUGGUGGGGGUUGGAAAGUUUCGGCGGUUGGGGAUGGACUCGCGGCUUAUCAGCUUGUUGGUGGGGUAGUGGCUUACCAAGGCUUUGACGGGUAGCCGGCCUGAGAGGGUGACCGGCCACAUUGGGACUGAGAUACGGCCCAGACUCCUACGGGAGGCAGCAGUGGGGAAUAUUGCACAAUGGGCGGAAGCCUGAUGCAGCAACGCCGCGUGCGGGAUGACGGCCUUCGGGUUGUAGACCGCUUUCGCCUGUGACGAAGCGCGAGUGACGGUAAUGGGUAAAGAAGCACCGGCUAACUACGUG